rnacentral:rRNA from 1 species
GAUGAACGCUGGCGGCGUGCUUAACACAUGCAAGUCGAACGAAGCACUUUAUUUGAUUUCCUUCGGGACUGAUUAUUUUGUGACUGAGUGGCGGACGGGUGAGUAACGCGUGGGUAACCUGCCUUGUACAGGGGGAUAACAGUUGGAAACGGCUGCUAAUACCGCAUAAGCGCACAGCAUCGCAUGAUGCAGUGUGAAAAACUCCGGUGGUGUAAGAUGGACCCGCGUUGGAUUAGCUAGUUGGUGAGGUAACGGCCCACCAAGGCGACGAUCCAUAGCCGAACUGAGAGGGUGACCGGCCACAUUGGGACUGAGACACGGCCCAAACUCCUACGGGAGGCAGCAGUGGGGAAUAUUGCACAAUGGGCGAAAGCCUGAUGCAGCGACGCCGCGUGAGCGAAGAAGUAUUUCGGUAUGUAAAGCUCUAUCAGCAGGGAAGAUAAUGACGGUACCUGACUAAGAAGCACCGGCUAAAUACGUG